UUUUAAGUUUCGUGGCAUUAAUUCAUCUGGUACUGUGUCUGCUGACUCUUGCUCAUGGUGAUUUUCUUGUGAGGUUUGCAAUCUAUUAGUGUGGGCUCAUGAUCACCUUGGUUUAUAAAAUCCUGUUGGAGUCCAAAAUGGUCUGAGUUAUGAAAUAAUGGUUUGGGGCUUGGUUUUGCUGGGGAAUUUCAGUGAUGUGGGACUGGGUUGUAAGGUUGAUUUUUCAGAUCAUGUUACCUAUCCCACCCAGGUGGUAUAAAUGUAGAGCCUACAUCAGCAAGUGAUUCAGAUCUACAGCUUUAAUUUCUCAGAAUGUUUGGUUAUUCCAACACAGUCCCAGAUAAAUCAUUUCUGUGUAUGAAUCCCCCUGGCAAAGCAGAAGCAGAAAUACCAUAGCAGGAGGCACUUAGAGGGUCACAGCAUCCUAUGGUAUCAGUGUUCUAUGCACUGUCUACAGUGACUUGUGAAAUGGCAUCAGUAGGAGAUGAGAGAAGAGAUGGGAGAAGUAAAAAAUUAAGGAAUCACAAAUGAAAAGGAAAGAAAUGAAAAAAAACUGAAGAUAAGCAAACAGGUCAGAGGCUAUAUAAUGGUGGAGGACUAACCAAUAUGGCAAACGGUGAGGCAUGGAAGGAACUCUCCAGAAGCCUCCCAUCUGCUUCUUCCAGCCGCAGCCAUGUUGCAGUGCAUUCAGCACCAUCCCAGGAAGCAUCCACAGGAGUUCAGUCUAUUUCCAUCACAUGGUUGCUCCACACCCAAACUGGCUUACAUCUGCGGUUAUAAUUUUCCCUUUAAUUUAACCAAAAGCAUUCUGAAUUUGAAGCAAGGAGAUUUAUUUAAUCCUUUUAAUUUCAUAUAACAUCCAGCCAUUACUACAUCAGGUUAGCAAAUGUACAAAUGUAAAGGGAAAUUAACAUGGUUUGGAAUAAAGCAAAUCCCAUGAGCUCUCAUUGACUGGAUACUACAUUUGGGAGGAAGGCAUUGUAUUGUUAUUGGAAACUAGGAACAGCUCUAAUCAAAUGCCGAGCAGGCAUUAUAUCUCCCAUGGAACUGUCACUGUGACUGAAAUUCCAACCACUGUUCCACAAAAUCCCAUUUGAGAAAAGGUCUUAUACAUGGAAUUGAGGCAGUAUUCAACUCAACAUGUAUGGAGUGCCUACUAUUAUAUAAAAUCUAGCUGAAAUUCUAUUCAUUCAUUCAGUAAAAUGAUUAAGAUCCUCCUACAUACACAAGGCAUUGAGUUAGGGAAUGGGUAUAGAACAGUAAACAAUAUAGUGUCCCUUCAUUCUUAGAGCAUACAGUACAGUGGGAAAAUGUACAUUAAAGAAGUACUUACAUGAAUAUCUAAUUAUACCUGGGAAAAGGGCAGUGCAGAUGCACAGAGAGCCAGGAGAAUGUGUGACAGCUAGAAUAUGACCUAGCUAGUGGGCCAGGGAAAGCUUCCAGAGGAGGCAAAGUUUGUGUUCAUGUUUCAGUUUUCCAGUGGACUUGGAUAAUGAACAAUGCAUAGUUCACAAAAGUGAUAGACUUGUAUUGAAGAAGAGAAAGGAGAAAAAUGUCAAAAGUAGGGACCACUACUGAGCCCUGUCAAGGCAUAGUGUUGUCCAUGAUGGCAGUCCAUGACAGCAUAGAGGUACGGAGCAGGUUGAGUCAAAACGUGGGGCACAGUUUGCUCACAUCAGAGAGUCACCCAGCACUAACAAUAACUUGACCCAGCUAUGCUCAAUCUAACUGUCUGAUAUUAUUGGUAAUUUGAAUUGUGACUCAUACAGUUCCCUCAUAAUCAGAUAAAGUAAACAAAUCUCCUAAGUAAAUGAAAUCUGGUUAAAAGCACUGAUUACAGAUAUGCUGGAUCAUCUCCCAGGACUUUGUAUGAACCCCAUAAGUAGAUAGAUUCCAAAGUAUCCUUUAAAACCCAGGAUAGUCUCCACUAUGUAAAACUUCAUUUCAUAACGACUUCUAGGCCUGGAAUUGUGAAUACUUAUAUAGUUCAGGGACUCUCAGUGCAAAAAGUUUCCACCACAUUACUCUGCUAUAAACGCCAUACUAAAUUUUAUAAUGGUUUUUAAGUACCUUAAAAUGUUAAAAAUCUCUAAAUUAAGACAAGUGUCACCCUUCUCUUACGGUCUACUUAAAAACGUGGUACCCAGACCAUCCCUAAGCACAAUCACAUCACAUUGCAAAAUCCCCAAGUUGCCUCACAUUUUAUACAAGGGAAAUUAGUUGAAAAUGAAAUUUGCAAGAGAAAUGAGAUCACAAAAGGACUAAUAAAGCAUUUUUAACUUUCCUGAGGGUAAAUUAUGAGUCUUGAAAAUAUAAUCAAAAUUGGUGGAUCCAUUUUCACUUUCUCCACUGAACAUCCCUGACCCACUGAUUAUUUUAUUUCCUCUGUUAUGCCUGCUUACUCCUUCUUUCCCCCAAAGGAACCAGAGGAUUUUCUAAAGUUCAAAUCUGCUUAUUCCAGGAAGAAUAAUGCAAAUCAAAUGGUUUAAGUUUAAAAAUCGCUACUUAGAUGGGCAUACUUGGAAUUUAUCAUUAUGAACAUAGAGGAUUUGGUAACACAAAUGAUAUGGAAUGGGGUGGCUGCAAACUAUUCCUCAGAGGAAACAAGAAUUUCUGAUAACUGUUAAACUAGAUGCAUAUUGCAGAAAUUUUAAAAAUUAUCAUUAUUUACCACUGCCAAUUUUAAAAAUUAUCAUUAUUUACCACUGCCAAUAAAAUAUGCAAAAUCCAUACAAAAAUACAAGUUCUGAAAUAUCACUCACUCAAAAAAGUAAAUGGACAGACUAGAAGCUUCAGAAAGUGAAGAAUGUGUCUGUCUUAUUGCCAGAACUCAGCCCAACCCCAUAAGCACAGCACACAUGAAAUACUUGAGGAAUAAAUUAAUAACUGCUAAGUAAUGUGUGACACACACAAAAAAUUCCCUAAUGAACUUCUAAUUAAUCAGAUAAAUUGGGUUAAGCAAUAAAAUAAGAAAAUUUGAGCUAAUAUAGAAAUCUAAGAGAUUCCAAGAUAUUGCCCCAAUGAAGAAAUCAACUCUUAGCUGUCCAUGCUUUUGAAAAAAAAUUCUGAAACAGAUAGAUAAUGAAAAGGAGUAACAUUUUCCUCUUUUUCAAAAACUUAUGCCCAUGUAAUUCCCCCAUUUACCCAACUCCUCCCCCAAUCAAAAAAAAAGGUCUGAUGUUGUCUAUUUGUUAGCAUAAAUUCUGAAUAUCCAGGCACUGAAUACUCUCCAUAAUUUGGUCUCUAACUUCAUGCUAGCCUGUCUUAAUUCUCCAUGAUGCCAGUUAAUCUACUUCCUGAUGCUCAACACAUCUGGAGUUUACUUCCUCCAUACAUUAACUUAUGCCACAUCCUAAUGCCUUGAGUGCUCUGCAAUUCACUUACUACAUUCCUGUUCACUUCUCAAGUCCCAGUAGUUCCCUGAAACUAUCUUGCCAUGCUGUCUGGAACUGACCUCUUUUCCCUUGUCUAAUUAGCUCACUCAACACUUAGCAAACACCAUCUGAUAUUGAUGAUUAUUUCUGAUACAAGGCAGAGGAACAUGUUAUAUUCAGAAUCAAAGAAUUUUAGGUCUACAAAUAAGUUACAGAUUAAUUAGGUCCAUUCUAUCAUUAUACGGAUGACUAAAUACAAAGAUGAAGC
rnacentral:lncRNA from 10 species